rnacentral:rRNA from 1 species
UACGUAGGUGGCAAGCGUUGUCCGGAAUACUGGGCGUAAAGCGUGCGCAGGCGGUGAUGUAAGACAGGUGUGAAAUCCCCGGGCUUAACCCUGGGAACUGCAUUUGUGACUGCAUCGCUGGAGUGCGGCAGAGGGGGAUGGAAUUCCGGCGUGUAGCAGUGAAAUGCGUAGAUAUGCGGAGGAACACCGAUGGCGAAGGCAAUCCCCUGGGCCUGCACUGACGCUCCAUGCACGAAA